UACGAAGGGGGCUAGCGUUGCUCGGAAUCACUGGGCGUAAAGCGCACGUAGGCGGAUCGUUAAGUCGGAGGUGAAAUCCUGGAGCUCAACUCCAGAACUGCCUUUGAUACUGGAGAGCUUGAGUCCGGAAGAGGUGAGUGGAACUCCGAGUGUAGAGGUGAAAUUCGUAGAUAUUCGGAAGAACACCAGUGGCGAAGGCGGCUCACUGGUCCGGUACUGACGCUGAGGUGCGAAAGCGUGGGGAGCAAACAGG
rnacentral:rRNA from 1 species